rnacentral:lncRNA from 1 species
GCAUGCGUAGCGAGCGAGAGGGUGGCGCAAGACGAUCACGUUCCGGCUUACAUGUUGCCUCAGAGUUUAACGUCCACUAGGACGGGUCCCUCAUAUUGAACGGUCAAAGACUAUCUCGCCUAGGAUCGGAAUGAGAGACGGCCCUAGCCGCUCUCAGACGCGACCUAUAUCCUCUCUCUAGAUCACCCGUACUCCGGCCUCCCAUGCAAUACACCGUGUCGAGCCAACCAACCUCGGGCACGUUCCCCUCUUCCCACACGCCAAAACCACAUCCAAAUCACUCAGUCACAAGAUAUGCACGGUCACACGCCAGGUCACGACAGCCACCCGCCGAUCACACCAUAACACCAUGCGCGCACAGCGCCGCCUGCCAGUUCCGCUGCCGCCACCUGAAGUCUGCCGCUUGCUGCUAGCCACCUCCGUACUUGAGCUCGGCCUGCAUGGUGUUUGGGGUAAGUUGGUCAGUGCAUGGUGGCACGGUGUCGUGCUCUGGGUACACGCAGGGCCUGGACCACAUUCGGUCCCCUAGAACUAACUUCCCAUGUACGUCAUUCAAAUCCUAUCAUUCAUCCUAUUAUGAGUUGUGUAGCAAUUUCCGAUUAAACUUGCCUGGUGAGGGUUAGAAGGGCCACGCAUUUACGCGCGCUGCGCCCCGAGUCGAAUAUCCAGUGCCGGACCUGAGGGGACAAGGGGAGGGGGAGGGGGCACACGGGUAUGACGCCGGUCUGAAGAGGGGCAAAAACGUGUCCACACGUGUUUCUCCACGCUCGCGUAGACUUAGCCUCCCUCUUUCAGGAAUUGACUUAUAUGACAUAUAAGGAUGUAAAAGUUUGACUCCCGUCGCAUUCUGCGAGGGUGGCUGUCACCACAUUUCGCGAGGCAUGCUUUCGCCAGGGUCGCACUCUUAAGCCCGGGAGCAUGUUUCUAGUCUCCUUGCAUGUAUGUUUGAUGACGGCAACAAUAAUUGGCAUCAAAGCGCGGUAAUUGCGCAGACUUGGGAAGCCUGUUCACCGCGACGUCACCGAAUAGGCCGCAAACAAAAUAUUUGAGGUCUCUGUAGUAUCAAGGUGAUACUUGUAGAACGCUGGUAGCUGAUUCGGAGGUCGGCCUGACGACCGUCGCCAACCGUGCCAAGCUGGGCGGAACGCAUCCCCCGGACGCCACGCGAGCUAGACCAGUCUAGGCCGUGUCGUCCGCCCGGGACCACGUUCGCCGUGCCUUAAAUGGGAGUUUGGGGACCGGACGACAAGGCCAAGGCAGGUAACCAGGCUGUGCCGUUUGACCCCUCUCCCAGACCGGCGUCAUACCCGUGUGGGGAGGGGGGGAGCUUCACACUCUGCAUCUCUGCUUAUGCUCUUACAACUUCGUCCAUACUGCGCAUGGAUGCAAGGUCGCUUGACCCCCUGAAUUUGUUGUCGCUUGUCGACCCCCUGAAAUGGCUGUCGCUAUGUGUCCCGACCUGCCUCACCUGGCACUGUUGAUUCCAGACUUGGUCUCUGAUGCUUGAUUUACAUCCUGUAACAGCAGCGUCAAGACCUGGCUUAGUUGUAGACCCGGUCAACGAGGGUCCGACACCCCCUGCGACAGCGCAGCCCAGCCCCAGCAGCUCAUAACAGACCUUUUAAAGAUUGAUGCCAGGGCUUAGCAGGACUUGAAGACUCGCCCUGUAGACUUGAGCGCCAACUUUGAAAGCAAGUCCAUUGCCGACUGGCAGAGGACCACGAAGUCUCUACAUGGUACUGAACGAUAAGUAUAUAGCUACAUGUGACAAAGACAGGUUGCUUGAAGAGUGAAGAACUGAACUCGAAAUAUAUGAGCCCCAUGCAGCCCCAUGCAACAAGGAACGCGCUCCAUGCUGGGUCUUGAUUUGCUGUGCAUGCUCCGGUCAGACCUUAAAUAAAUCUGCAGCAGGCCGGUACGUCAGUCUUCAGCGCCGGUCCGGGCACGGGUCUCGCCUGCGCCUCCGCAGCUUGUGCUUAGGGAACCACCUGGAGCUGGGUACCGGCUUUCUCGGCUUUGCAUGGUUCGUCUUUAAAGCUUUCUCAGUAACGGGGAAAGCCUCACAUGCACACGCACCUCCGCUCAUGCCCACCGCCGCAUGAAGGAAGGCCGGGGGAGGCCUGGUGCGCCGGGCUGGAUACGGG